rnacentral:rRNA from 1 species
GUCUACGGCCAUGCCACCCUAAACAAGCCUGAUGUCUGAUCUCGGAAGCUAAGCAGGGUCGAGCCUGGUUAGUAUUUGGAUGGGAGACCACCUAGGAAGACCAGGUGCUGUAGGCA